rnacentral:sRNA from 1 species
ACCAGCGGAAACAAAACACAGAGGCGGCCGCGGGGGGGCUGCGGCGGGGGAAAGCCCCGGAACCAGGCCGGCCGCGCGGGCCCGCGCUCCCCGCCAGCCCGCAGCCGCACUCACCAGCUCCGGAAUCCGCCCCGUGGCCCUCGCCCGCGCUCCAGAGCCGGCUGGGAACGGCGGCGGCGCGGGCUCCAGGUACAGCGUCUCUCUGGAGGCGUCCGGUCGCAGACUCUCUUCGAGGCGCUUCCUGUCCGGUGAGCGUCGAACGACUGAAGCGGUGGCCCAUAGUGCAUUGCGAUGGCGGGUAGGCGUGUGUAGGCGGAGCCAGGGCCGGAAGUAGAACGGUGGCGGCGGCGGUGACUCUGGCAGCUCGGGACUCAGUGCAAGGUGACUGGGAGGGUAACUAGGCUAGGUUGGCCUCUUGGGACUGCGAUUCUGGGUUUCUUCACGAGGCAAGGGCAGCCCAUCACCUCUGCCCUAGUAGUAGAGAGCAGCCCUGUGUCCUUGGCACCUUUAUGGCCUGGCCUGGGGUCACAGGUGACCUCCGCCCUGCUGGGUAUUAAAGUUUGCUUUGCGCCCAAUAAAUAAGACCGUUAAUACCCUUUUGAGAGCAGAACAGGGCUCUUGAACGGCAAAAAAAAAAAAAAAAAAAAAAA